rnacentral:rRNA from 1 species
AGCUUGCUACCUGACCUAGCGGCGGACGGGUGAGUAAUGCUUAGGAAUCUGCCUAUUAGUGGGGGACAACAUUCCGAAAGGAAUGCUAAUACCGCAUACGCCCUACGGGGGAAAGCAGGGGAUCUUCGGACCUUGCGCUAAUAGAUGAGCCUAAGUCAGAUUAGCUAGUUGGUGGGGUAAAGGCCUACCAAGGCGACGAUCUGUAGCGGGUCUGAGAGGAUGAUCCGCCACACUGGGACUGAGACACGGCCCAGACUCCUACGGGAGGCAGCAGUGGGGAAUAUUGGACAAUGGGCGAAAGCCUGAUCCAGCCAUGCCGCGUGUGUGAAGAAGGCCUUUUGGUUGUAAAGCACUUUAAGCGAGGAGGAGGCUACUUGGAUUAAUACUCUAGGAUAGUGGACGUUACUCGCAGAAUAAGCACCGGCUAACUCUGUGCCAGCAGCCGCGGUAAUACAGAGGGUGCGAGCGUUAAUCGGAUUUACUGGGCGUAAAGCGUGCGUAGGCGGCUUCUUAAGUCGGAUGUGAAAUCCCUGAGCUUAACUUAGGAAUUGCAUUCGAUACUGGGAAGCUAGAGUAUGGGAGAGGAUGGUAGAAUUCCAGGUGUAGCGGUGAAAUGCGUAGAGAUCUGGAGGAAUACCGAUGGCGAAGGCAGCCAUCUGGCCUAAUACUGACGCUGAGGUACGAAAGCAUGGGGAGUAAACAGGAUUAGAUACCCUGGUAGUCCAUGCCGUAAACGAUGUCUACUAGCCGUUGGGGCCUUUGAGGCUUUAGUGGCGCAGCUAACGCGAUAAGUAGACCGCCUGGGGAGUACGGUCGCAAGACUAAAACUCAAAUGAAUUGACGGGGGCCCGCACAAGCGGUGGAGCAUGUGGUUUAAUUCGAUGCAACGCGAAGAACCUUACCUGGUCUUGACAUAGUAAGAACUUUCCAGAGAUGGAUUGGUGCCUUCGGGAACUUACAUACAGGUGCUGCAUGGCUGUCGUCAGCUCGUGUCGUGAGAUGUUGGGUUAAGUCCCGCAACGAGCGCAACCCUUUUCCUUAUUUGCCAGCGAGUAAUGUCGGGAACUUUAAGGAUACUGCCAGUGACAAACUGGAGGAAGGCGGGGACGACGUCAAGUCAUCAUGGCCCUUACGACCAGGGCUACACACGUGCUACAAUGGUCGGUACAAAGGGUUGCUACCUAGCGAUAGGAUGCUAAUCUCAAAAAGCCGAUCGUAGUCUGGAUUGGAGUCUGCAACUCG